AGUGAACGCUGGCGGUAGGCCUAACACAUGCAAGUCGAACGGCAGCACAGUAAGAGCUUGCUCUUACGGGUGGCGAGUGGCGGACGGGUGAGGAAUACAUCGGAAUCUACUUUUUCGUGGGGGAUAACGUAGGGAAACUUACGCUAAUACCGCAUACGACCUACGGGGGAAAGCAGGGGAUCUUCGGACCUUGCGCGGUUGAAUGAGCCGAUGUCGGAUUAGCUAGUUGGCGGGGUAAAGGCCCACCAAGGGGACGAUCCGUAGCUGGUGUGAGAGGCUGAUAGCCCACCCGGGAACGGGGACAGGGUCCAGGCGCCUACGGGAGGCAGCAGUGGGGAAUAGUGGGCAAUGGGCGCAAGCCUGAUCCAGCCAUACCGCGUGGGUGAAGAAGGCCUUCGGUUUGUAAAGCCCUUUUGUUGGGAAAGAAAAGCAGCAGGUUAAUACCCCGCCGUUCUGACGGUACCCAAAGAAUAAGCACCGGCUAACUUCGUG
rnacentral:rRNA from 1 species